rnacentral:lncRNA from 1 species
AGCAAUACUCCUCAGAGCAAACGUUGGCUUUUCAGCUAACUUAGAAGUUCCCUGGAAAAUGCUUCUUAAGCCUUAGAGAAGAGAGACAGUCUUUUUCAUAUAACAUAGCCAAACCAAGGGCGUGACACUCCGUCACCGUCACCAUACUCUGCUGAUUAGAAGUGAUUCACAGUUUCUGCCCACAAUGAACAGAAGAGGUCACAUAGGAGAGUGAUCAGCAUAUCUUGGGAGCACAGUAGACACAGGUUAAGGAGAUCCCCUGCCUGCAGUGUCCCAAUCAAAUCAUAGGAACACUGUGAGACUCUGGGGUGAGCUUGCAUUUGCAGACAGGAACUGAAGGGCUGGAGAGGUUACACUCACCCAGGUGCAGUUGCCCAGCAUGUGAAAGAGGAGACAUUCUAAACCCUGCACUUAAAAAAUAAAUAAAUAAAUAAAGUUACAGACUGUC